rnacentral:rRNA from 1 species
GACGAACGCUGGCGGCGGGCUUAACACAUGCAAGUCGAACGGAAAGGCCCUGCUUUUGUGGGGUGCUCGAGUGGCGAACGGGUGAGUAACACGUGAGUAACCUGCCCUUGACUUUGGGAUAACUUCAGGAAACUGGGGCUAAUACCGGAUAGGAGCUCCUGCUGCAUGGUGGGGGUUGGAAAGUUUCGGCGGUUGGGGAUGGACUCGCGGCUUAUCAGCUUGUUGGUGGGGUAGUGGCUUACCAAGGCUUUGACGGGUAGCCGGCCUGAGAGGGUGACCGGACACAUUGGGACUGAGAUACGGCCCAGACUCCUACGGGAGGCAGCAGUGGGGAAUAUUGCACAAUGGGCGGAAGCCUGAUGCAGCAACGCCGCGUGCGGGAUGACGGCCUUCGGGUUGUAAACCGCUUUCGCCGGUGACGAAGCGUGAGUGACGGUAAUGGGUAAAGAAGCACCGGCUAACUACGUG